AUGUUAAUCCAUGCUUCAAGCAUUGACGAGUUAUCCGCGUUGUCUUCUCUUGGUUACCUUCUAUAUGUACGAGUUAUUCACGUCAUUAUAUCAAGCUCACCCCCAGCCACACGAUGCCGACUGUAUGCUACCCACCGCCGCAGAACACCGAAGAAACACCACAAGUUGCAGAUCGCGUCACGUUUGGGACUCCUAGCCGCCGCUGAACCAUUAAAGAGGGUACAACUUCGGGAUUACAAAGGGUCACACUCCUUUCACUACGGAAUUGUUGCUCUUCACGAAUAA